CAGCCGCCGCGGGAAUACGGAGGAUGCAAGCGUUAUCCGGAAUGAUUGGGCGUAAAGCUUCUGUAGGUGGCUUUUCAAGUCCGCCGUCAAAUCCCAGGGCUCAACCCUGGACAGGCGGUGGAAACUACCAAGCUGGAGUACGGUAGGGGCAGAGGGAAUUUCCGGUGGAGCGGUAAAAUGCGUUGAGAUCGAAAUGAACACCAACGACGAAAGCACUCUGCUGGGUCGACACUGACACUGAGAGACGAAAGCUAGGGGAGCAAAUGGGAUUAGAUACCCCCGUAGUCCCUGUCUCUUAUAC
rnacentral:rRNA from 1 species